GACGAACGCUGGCGGCGUGCUUAACACAUGCAAGUCGAACGGAAAGGCCCUGCUUUUGUGGGGUGCUCGAGUGGCGAACGGGUGAGUAACACGUGAGUAACCUGCCCUUGACUUUGGGAUAACUUCAGGAAACUGGGGCUAAUACCGGAUAGGAGCUCCUGCUGCAUGGUGGGGGUUGGAAAGUUUCGGCGGUUGGGGAUGGACUCGCGGCUUAUCAGCUUGUUGGUGGGGUAGUGGCUUACCAAGGCUUUGACGGGUAGCCGGCCUGAGAGGGUGACCGGCCACAUUGGGACUGGGAUACGGCCCAGACUCCUACGGGAGGCAGCAGUGGGGAAUAUUGCACAAUGGGCGGAAGCCUGAUGCAGCAACGCCGCGUGCGGGAUGACGGCCUUCGGGUUGUAAACCGCUUUCGCCUGUGACGAAGCGUGAGUGACGGUAAUGGGAAAGAAGCACCGGCUAACUACGUG
rnacentral:rRNA from 1 species